UCCGGUCCGCCCCUCGGGCUAUAUAACAGCGCUCCGCCCACCGUUCUUCUCAGUGUUGGGGGCGGGUGGGGCUCGGAGUGGGGUUUCGCCUGUUGUUUCAGCGCUGCGUUCGUGCGUGGAGAUGGCGCUUCCCCGCAACGCUUUGAAGCAGAA